rnacentral:tRNA from 1 species
GUCCCUGUAGCGCAAUGGGCAGCGCGUUGGACUUCUAAUUCAAAGGUCGUGCGUUCGAAUCCCUUCUGGGAUG